rnacentral:SRP_RNA from 1 species
GCCAGGUGUGGUGGUGCACACCUGUAGUCCCAGCUACUUGGGAGGCUGAGGUGGGAGGAUUGCUUGAACCCAGGAGGUUGAGGCUGCUGUGAGCCAUGAUUGCACCACUGCACUCCAGCCUGGGUGAUGGAGUAAGAACCUGUCUUAA